rnacentral:rRNA from 1 species
AACGUAGGGGGCGAGCGUUGUCCGGAAUUACUGGGCGUAAAGGGCGUGUAGGCGGCCCGCCAAGUCAGAUGUGAAAACCCCGGGCUCAACCCGGGAGUUGCAUUUGAAACUGGAGGGCUUGAGGGCAGGAGAGGAGAGUGGAAUUCCCGGUGUAGCGGUGAAAUGCGUAGUUAUCGGGAGGAACACCAGUGGCGAAGGCGACUCUCUGGACUGACCCUGACGCUGAGGCGCGAAAGCGUGGGGAGCAAAC